rnacentral:rRNA from 1 species
GACGAACGCUGGCGGCGUGCUUAACACAUGCAAGUCGAACGGAAAGGCCCUGCUUUUGUGGGGUGCUCGAGUGGCGAACGGGUGAGUAACACGUGAGUAACCUGCCCUUGACUUUGGGAUAACUUCAGGAAACUGGGGCUAAUACCGGAUAGGAGCUCCUGCUGCAUGGUGGGGGUUGGAAAGUUUCGGCGGUUGGGGAUGGACUCGCGGCUUAUCAGCUUGUUGGUGGGGUAGUGGCUUACCAAGGCUUUGACGGGUAGCCGGCCUGAGAGGGUGACCGGCCGCAUUGGGACUGAGAUGCGGCCCAGACUCCUACGGGAGGCAGCAGUGGGGAAUAGUGCACAAUGGGCGGAGGCCUGAUGCAGCAAAGCCGCGUGCGGGAUGACGGCCUUCGGGUUGUAAACCGCUUUCGCCUGUGACGAAGCGUGAGUGACGGUAAUGGGUAAAGAAGCACCGGCUAACUACGUG